GGGGAGCUGGCGCAACGGUAGCGCGUCAGAUUCCAGUGAGCUGUCCAACAGCGUCUCUCGGGGAUUCCUGAAGGUUAUCGGUUCAAAUCCGGUGUUCCUCA